UACGGGGGGAGCAAGCGUUGUUCGGAUUUACUGGGCGUACAGGGCGCGUAGGCGGCCAGCACAAGUCAGUUGUGAAAUCUCCGGGCUUAACUCGGAAAGGUCAACUGAUACUGUGCGGCUAGAGUGCAGAAGGGGCAACUGGAAUUCUCGGUGUAGCGGUGAAAUGCGUAGAUAUCGAGAGGAACACCUGCGGCGAAGGCGGGUUGCUGGGCUGAUACUGACGCUGAAGCGCGAAAGCUAGGGUAGCAAACGGG
rnacentral:rRNA from 1 species